UUGGCUGCCAAACCCUGCCCCCGAAAGUUGGACUUUCGGCUCUAGAAGGGAGUUUCGGCCGCCGAAGGUGCCGCCGAUCAUGCAUGAGUUUCGUCUCUGGAAGGAACUUUCGGCCGCCGAAGGUGCCGCCGAAAGUGGCUGAGUUUCGGCUCUGGAGGGACUUUCGGCCGCCGAACCUGCCGCCGAAAGUGCCCUGUUCAGCCUUCCUUUGCAUGUUUUCUAUGAUUGUUCUGAAGUGUUUUAGGGGGUUUUUGGGGAGUUGUUUAGAGUCAUGUUCAUGUAUGUUUGGUCCCUCAUUUGAGUCCACCUGUGUAGGUUCAGACCCGAGGAACCGAGGACCCCAGCAGUGAGACAAUUGCUUCAGUGUCUUGUUAGAGCUAGCCUGAGGUGAGUAGAAUGCCUCUUUAUGUUUCAAAACAAAUAAUGAAAGUUUUAGCAUGAUUCACGCAUCAUGAAUGCCAUGAGAUAUAUUAGGUUGUUUGCAUUAGAAUUCACAAAUAUGUUGCAUUGCAUAUUAUGUUGUUGAUGUGGAUGAGCAUUGAAUGAUCCAUUAGCCCUCGUACGGUAUGAUAUGAUAUGAUGAUGAUACGGUAUGGAAGUCCAGGAAGACCCAUUCUACGUCUCUGGCACAAUGUAAGAGAAAGUCCAGGAAGACCCAUUCUACGUCCCUGGCACAUUGGAAUAUUAUGAUAUGUUAUGUAAGAGAAAGACCAGGACCCAUUCUACGUUCUGGCACUAAUGGAAAUGUAGAGGGCUAUUGGUGACAAGUUCAUCCUUAAGGUGAUUUAUUUGUGAUGUGAUGCAUUUCAUGAAAGCAUGAACUUUAAAUAUAAUGUUUUAUUAUUCUGCUCACUGGGCUCUAGUAGCUCACCCCAUUCCCUUAAUUCCCCAGGUUGCAGGUACGGGAUAGAUUCAGGAGGUCAGCAAGAAUAAGAAGUCAUGUUUUAUGUAAUAGCUAGAUGUGGACAUGAAAAUGAUGUAAUAUAAAGUAUAGUAAUGUAACGAUGUUUAUUGAGGUUUAGAGUUGUGCUUGACCCUAGUAUGUUGGUUAAUCCCUUUGUUCAUGAUCUAUAAAAUGUUUUGUCAAUGUUUAAGUAAACCAGGCUUUAUGCAUGAUAUGUUACCCCAUUGGAGCAUUUGAUGAGGGCUCCAGUGUGGGGUUUUAUAUUUAUGAGUUUGUGCAUGCACAGGUUAAGCUUGGUAAAUGAAAGAAAAAGUUUAAUGUUUUAUGGUUAUGUUUGAUCAUGUAUGGGAUUAAACAGGUAUGCAGGAUGUAUGUUAGGCUUGCUACGGGUCCCGGCGGCCUUAAGCCGAUCUGGAUCCUAGCGCCGGUAGCGGUCCGAUUUCCGGGUCGUUACACCAGGUUCGGCUGCUGAAGCCAUAUUCGGCCGCUGUACCUGCCUGUGGAGGCAGUUUGGCCGCCUAAACUCGCCCCCGAAAGUUUGGACUUUCGGCUCUGGAGGGGAGUUUCGGCCGCCGAACCUGCCCCCGAAAGUGGGUGACUUUCGGCUCUGGAAGGACUUUUGGCAGCCGAACCCUGCCCCCGAAAGUGCCUGACUUUCGGCUCUGGAGGGACUUUCGACCGCGAACCUGCCACCGAAAGUGCCCUGUCCAACCUUCCUUUGCAUGUUUUCUA
rnacentral:lncRNA from 1 species